GAAUAUUGCGCAAUGGACGAAAGCCUGACGCAGCCACGCCGCGUGAGUGAUGAAGGCCUUCGGGUUGUAAAGCUCUGUCGGGAGGGACGAAAGGGGCAACCCUUGACGGUACCUCGCAAGAAAGCACCGGCUAACUCUGUGCCAGCAGCCGCGGUAAUACAGAGGGUGCAAGCGUUGUCCGGAAUGAUUGGGUGUAAAGGGUGUGCAGGCGGGGCGGUAAGCCAGGGGUGAAAGUCUACGGCUCAACCGUAGGAUGGCCUUUGAUACUGUCGUCCUUGAGUCCCGGAGAGGCCAUUAGAAUUCGUGGUGUAGCGGUGAAAUGCGUAGAUAUCACGAGGAAUACCGGAAGCGUAGGCGGAUGGCUGGACGGCGACUGACGCUCAGGCACGAAAGCGUGGGGAGCGAAC
rnacentral:rRNA from 1 species